ensembl:Y_RNA Y_RNA Y RNA
GGCUCGUCUGAAGGGAGUUAUUUCAGUUAAUUGUUCGCAGUCAGUUACAGAUAGAAUUUCUGUUCUACUUCCCACCCCACCUUACUACUGCAGUUGACUAGUCUUUU